UACAGAGGGGGCAAGCGUUGUUCGGAAUUACUGGGCGUAAAGCGCGCGCAGGCGGCUCUUUAAGUCUAUGGGUGAAAGACCGGGGCUCAACCCCGUGUCAGCCCGGGAUACUGGGGAGCUAGGGACAUGUAGGGGCGAGCGGAAUUCCGGGUGUAGCGGUGGAAUGCGUAGAGAUCCGGAAGAACACCGGGGGCGAAGGCGGCUCGCUGGGCAUGGUCCGACGCUGAGGCGCGAAAGCCAGGGGAGCAAACGGG
rnacentral:rRNA from 1 species